UAGCAUGCUAUCCUAAGGACCCGGGCUCUGUCUGUAGCCUCUGGUUCUCCAAGUGCAUGCCAGAGAAACGGGGAGUCUUUGACUGUCCUAGCGUCUCUGUGCCUGAGGUAGUCACUCUACUGUCCUACACAU
ensembl:snoRNA